GAUGAAGAACGCAGCGAAAUGCGAUAAGUAAUGUGAAUUGCAGAAUCCAGUGAAUCAUCGAAUCUUUGAACGCACAUUGCGCCCGCCAGCAUUCUGGCGGGCAUGCCUGUCCGAGCGUCAUUUCAACCCUCAAGCACUGCUUGGCGUUGGGGCGCUACGCGCUGAGCGUAGGCCCCUAAAAUCAGUGGCGGACCCGCUGUGGCUCCGGGCGUAGUAGCAGCACCUCGCCCUGGGACCGCGGCGCGUUCCGGCCGUUAAACCCCCCACUAUAUCGAAGGUUGACCUCGGAUCAGGUAGGAAUACCCGCUGAACUUAAGCAUAUCAAUAAGCGGAGGA
rnacentral:misc_RNA from 1 species